rnacentral:rRNA from 1 species
GACGAACGCUGGCGGCGUGCUUAACACAUGCAAGUCGAGCGGUAAGGCCCUUUCGGGGGUACACGAGCGGCGAACGGGUGAGUAACACGUGGGUGACCUGCCCUCAGCUCUGGGAUAAGCCUGGGAAACUGGGUCUAAUACUGGAUAUGACUCCACGGUGCAUGUCGUGGGGUGGAAAGCCUUGUGCGGCUGAGGAUGGGCCCGCGGCCUAUCAGCUUGUUGGUGGGGUGANGGCCUACCAAGGCGACGACGGGUAGCCGGCCUGAGAGGGCGACCGGCCACACUGGGACUGAGACACGGCCCAGACUCCUACGGGAGGCAGCAGUGGGGAAUCUUGCGCAAUGGGCGAAAGCCUGACGCAGCGACGCCGCGUGAGGGAUGACGGCCGUC